rnacentral:rRNA from 1 species
UACGUAGGGGGCAAGCGUUGUCCGGAAUUAUUGGGCGUAAAGAGCGUGUAGGCGGCCAGAUAAGUCCGCUGUGAAAUCUCGAGGCUCAACUUCGAGCUGUCGGUGGAAACUAUCUGGCUAGAGUCCGGAAGAGGAGAAUGGAAUUCCUGGUGUAGCGGUGAAAUGCGCAGAUAUCAGGAAGAACACCCGUGGCGAAGGCGGUUCUCUGGGACGGUACUGACGCUGAGAAGCGAAAGCGUGGGGAGCGAACAGG